AAAUGCUGUCCAAUAGCACUUUUGGUCGGAUUGGUAUGUUCAGCGAGUCGCGUCUGUAAACGUCUUUCUGUUUUCCCAAUAUACGUUGCGAAACAGCCAGAACAUGUCACCUCAUAAACUACAUUAGAUUUCGAAAGAUUAUUCUUCACACUAUUUAUUCUCCCACACCUAACUUACUCUUGUUGCUUGAAGCUCUAUAUAUCAAGUAUCAUUCACCCAGUUUAAACACUGGACUCAAAGCCAGCAAAGAACUCAAGCUUUUUUCUUAAUCUAUACACCCACAUUUCAUCACACUUACAUCUCACUGCAACUGUCGUGGUUCUGAUUGAGACUUCCGUUAAGCUGUCAUCAUGCCUUGCCAACUUGUAUGUAAGACCAUGUGUAUAUUGUAACUUUAGUUAGUCUGAUGAUGAUUUUGUAAUAAAAUCGAAAUAUUACUCACUCACUUUCUUGUUUGACUCAUAUUUUGGGUUUCAAGAUGCUUAUCUUCGGAUUAUGUUUUGUAUUAUAUUUUUUGAAAUUGUCGGCUGGUAUUGGUUUU